GAUUUAAGCUCUGUGUUCGCUGGUCGCUUCUGACACCACUCCAGUGUGCUGGUGGGCGACCUUUAUCACGGCCAGGCAUGGGUGGAAACCCAAGUUCUCCACUCAGCCUUCACGGUCCCCAGAGGAGUCCUCAUUAUUGCUAGCAGGGGUGGAGUUAGGGACGUCCACUGAGACCUCCCCGGAGUGGUGGGUCGGCGCCAUUACCAUUCCCCGCAUGACCCGGAUGAUGGCGGGGUGGAGGAGGAGUCAGGAGUGGUUGCCUGAUUAGUUCCGGAAACUGGCGGAAAUGCUGGCUGUCCGUGUAGCAUCGCCUGGCACUGCCUCUGAGGGGGAGGAAAAAAGGCUUUUGGAGUGGAACGCUGGAACAAUGAGCAAGAGGCUUCUCUGGCGAAGGUGAAGUCCCGAACCAGGCAGAGAGGCCUGGGGGACACACCCCUGCUGUGUCCGAGGUGCCACAUGCUGUCGCUUGCUCUUUUGCCAGAACUGGACUUUCCCCCACCGACACCUGCUAAGCCACUUCUGUUCCCCAGAACUUCGCCUUUUUACCGCUGCUUCACCAAAGCCAGUUGCUGCUUCUUGUUUCCACUGACCUUUGCCAGCAAAAUGAACACAGCUUGGGCCCCGUUUCCUCCCACUGCACACUUGUGAACGGAAGUCUCAGGUGCAUGAAUCUGCCUGGUGAGCUCAGCUGCUGUGUUUUGCCCUAACUUCAAAGACGGCCAGGGGAAAUGAGUUUUGUGAUUUCCACUCUAGGGAGGCAGGGGAAAUUUCAUGGUACCUCAAAGGUGUCCAGAUCGACGGACACCCACAAAACAUAACCCGUGUCCACACACUGGACACUGUCAAAGUGGCCACUGUGACUAAAGGCUUCAUAUGUUCUCAGAGACCAGCUGACUCACAGACUCACAGGAGUUAAUUAAAUGGAUGCUUUUGUUUUAA